rnacentral:snoRNA from 1 species
UAUCCAUGGUGUGGACAAUCUCAUUGGUACUCCUUAAAUCUUUCCCAAGUAUCUAAAAGAUCUUCAUCUUCUUUUUGUUGAAAAGUCCUUAUCUUCUUUUCUUAAGAGA